UCUCCGUAGGUGAACCUGCGGAGGGAUCAUUACAGAGUUCAUGCCCUACCGGGUAGAUCUCCCACCCUAUGUUAUUAUUACUUUGUUGCUUUGGCGGGCCGUUAGGCUCCGGCCCGACUACCGGCCCCGGCUGGUAAGCGCCCGCCAGAGGACCCAAACUCUGUUUGUCUAUACUGUCUGAGUACUAUAUAAUAGUUAAAACUUUCAACAACGGAUCUCUUGGUUCUG
rnacentral:misc_RNA from 1 species